AUUGAUUUUAUGCUUGCAUAAAUGAUUUUUGGAUUCGGAGCGAGUGGCGAACUGGUGAGUAACACGUGGGUAACCUGCCCCGAAGCGGGGGAUAACAUUUGGAAACAAGUGCUAAUACCGCAUAAUUAGUUGGAACCGCAUGGUUCCGACUUGAAAGAUGGCUCUGCUAUCACUUUGGGAUGGACCCGCGCCGUAUUAGUUAGUUGGUGAGAUAAAAGCCCACCAAGACGAUGAUACGUAGCCGACCUGAGAGGGUAAUCGGCCACAUUGGGACUGAGACACGGCCCAGACUCCUACGGGAGGCAGCAGUAGGGAAUCUUCCACAAUGGACGAAAGUCUGAUGGAGCAACGCCGCGUGAGUGAUGAAGGUUUUCGGAUCGUAAAACUCUGUUGUUAAAGAAGAACAAGUGUUAGAGUAACUGUUAACACUUUGACGGUAUUUAACCAGAAAGCCACGGCUAACUACGUGCCAGCAGCCGCGGUAAUACGUAGGUGGCAAGCGUUGUCCGGAUUUAUUGGGCGUAAAGCGAGCGCAGGCGGUUUUGUAAGUCUGCUGUGAAAGCCCUCAGCUCAACUGAGGAAGUGCAGUGGAAACUACAAAACUUGAGUACAGAAGAGGAAAGUGGAACUCCAUGUGUAGCGGUGAAAUGCGUAGAUAUAUGGAAGAACACCAGUGGCGAAGGCGGCUUUCUGGUCUGUUACUGACGCUGAGGCUCGAAAGCAUGGGUAGCGAACAGGAUUAGAUACCCUGGUAGUCCAUGCCGUAAACGAUGAAUACUAGGUGUUGGAGGGUUUCCGCCCUUCAGUGCCGCAGCUAACGCAUUAAGUAUUCCGCCUGGGGAGUACGACCGCAAGGUUGAAACUCAAAGGAAUUGACGGGGGCCCGCACAAGUGGUGGAGCAUGUGGUUUAAUUCGAUGCUACGCGAAGAACCUUACCAGCUCUUGACAUCUUCUGCCAACCCAAGAGAUUGGGCGUUCCCUUCGGGGACAGAAUGACAGGUGGUGCAUGGCUGUCGUCAGCUCGUGUCGUGAGAUGUUGGGUUAAGUCCCGCAACGAGCGCAACCCUUAUUAUUAGUUGCCAGCAUUUAGUUGGGCACUCUAGUGAGACUGCCGGUGAUAAA
rnacentral:rRNA from 1 species